rnacentral:rRNA from 1 species
CUACAACGGAGAGUUUGAUCCUGGCUCAGGAUGAACGCUGGCGGCGUGCUUAACACAUGCAAGUCGAACGAGCCUUCGGGCUAGUGGCGGACGGGUGAGUAACGCGUGGGAAUCUGCCCUCAGGAGGGGGAUAACGGCCGGAAACGGCCGCUAAUACCCCAUAUGCCGAGAGGUGAAAUGAAUUUCGCCUGAGGAUGAGCCCGCGUCUGAUUAGCUAGUUGGUGGGGUAAUGGCCCACCAAGGCGACGAUCAGUAGCUGGUCUGAGAGGAUGAUCAGCCACACUGGGACUGAGACACGGCCCAGACUCCUACGGGAGGCAGCAGUGGGGAAUUUUCCGCAAUGGGCGAAAGCCUGACGGAGCAACGCCGCGUGAGGGAUGAAGGCCUCUGGGCUGUAAACCUCUUUUCUCAAGGAAGAAGACAUGACGGUACUUGAGGAAUAAGCCACGGCUAAUUCCGUGCCAGCAGCCGCGGUAAUACGGGAGUGGCAAGCGUUAUCCGGAAUUAUUGGGCGUAAAGCGUCCGCAGGCGGCCUUGUAAGUCUGUCGUUAAAGCGUGGAGCUUAACUCCAUUUCAGCGAUGGAAACUACAAGGCUUGAGUGUGGUAGGGGCAGAGGGAAUUCCCGGUGUAGCGGUGAAAUGCGUAGAUAUCGGGAAGAACACCAGUGGCGAAGGCGCUCUGCUGGGCCAUAACUGACGCUCAUGGACGAAAGCCAGGGGAGCGAAAGGGAUUAGAUACCCCUGUAGUCCUGGCCGUAAACGAUGAACACUAGGUGUCGGGGGAAUCGACCCCCUCGGUGUCGUAGCUAACGCGUUAAGUGUUCCGCCUGGGGAGUACGCACGCAAGUGUGAAACUCAAAGGAAUUGACGGGGGCCCGCACAAGCGGUGGAGUAUGUGGUUUAAUUCGAUGCAACGCGAAGAACCUUACCAGGGUUUGACAUCCUGCGAAUCCCUUGGAAACGAGGGAGUGCCUUCGGGAGCGCAGAGACAGGUGGUGCAUGGCUGUCGUCAGCUCGUGUCGUGAGAUGUUGGGUUAAGUCCCGCAACGAGCGCAACCCACGUCUUUAGUUGCCAGCAUUCAGUUGGGCACUCUAGAGAGACCGCCGGUGAUAAACCGGAGGAAGGUGUGGAUGACGUCAAGUCAUCAUGCCCCUUACAUCCUGGGCUACACACGUACUACAAUGCUACGGACAAAGGGUUGCAAGCUCGCGAGAGUUAGCUAAUCCCAUAAACCGUGGCUCAGUUCAGAUCGUAGGCUGCAACUCGCCUACGUGAAGGAGGAAUCGCUAGUAAUCGCAGGUCAGCAUACUGCGGUGAAUACGUUCCCGGGCCUUGUACACACCGCCCGUCACACCAUGGAAGUUGGCCAUGCCCGAAGUCGUUACUCCAACCCUUGUGGAGGAGGACGCCGAAGGUGGGGCUGAUGACUGGGGUGAAGUCGUAACAAGGUAGCCGUACCGGAAGGUGCGGCUGGAUCACCUCCU